UCUAGAGAUAGAGCUUCCCCUUCGGGGGCAAAGUGACAGGUGGUGCAUGGUUGUCGUCAGCUCGUGUCGUGAGAUGUUGGGUUAAGUCCCGCAACGAGCGCAACCCUUAUUGUUAGUUGCCAUCAUUCAGUUGGGCACUCUAGCAAGACUGCCGGUGACAAACCGGAGGAAGGUGGGGAUGACGUCAAAUCAUCAUGCCCCUUAUGACCUGGGCUACACACGUGCUACAAUGGGAAGUACAACGAGUCGCGAAGUCGCGAGGCUAAGCUAAUCUCUUAAAGCUUCUCUCAGUUCGGAUUGCAGGCUGCAACUCGCCUGCAUGAAGCCGGAAUCGCUAGUAAUCGCGGAUCAGCACGCCGCGGUGAAUACGUUCCCGGGCCUUGUACACACCGCCCGUCACACCACGAGAGUUUGUAACACCCGAAGUCGGUGAGGUAACCUUUUUGGAGCCAGCCGCCUAAGGUGGGAUAGAUGAUUGGGGUGAAGUCGUAACAAGGUAGCCGUAUCGGAAGGUGCGGCUGGAUCACCUCCUUU
rnacentral:rRNA from 1 species